rnacentral:rRNA from 1 species
UACGUAGGGGGCAAGCGUUGUCCGGAAUUAUUGGGCGUAAAGAGCGCGUAGGCGGUCCGAUAAGUCGGCUGUGAAAGUCAGGGGCUCAACCCUUGAAAGCCGGCCGAUACUGUCGGACUAGAGUCCGGAAGAGGCAAGUGGAAUUCCCGGUGUAGCGGUGAAAUGACGCAGAUAUCAGGAGGAACACCAAUUGCGAAGGCAGCUCGCUGGGACGUUACUGACGCUGAGACGCGAAAGCGUGGGGAGCAAACAGG